rnacentral:rRNA from 1 species
UACGAAGGGGGCUAGCGUUGCUCGGAAUCACUGGGCGUAAAGGGUGCGUAGGCGGAUUAUUAAGUCAGAGGUGAAAGCCCAAGGCUCAACCUUGGAAUUGCCUUUGAUACUGAUAAUCUAGAGACCGGAAGAGGUAAGUGGAACUGCGAGUGUAGAGGUGAAAUUCGUAGAUAUUCGCAAGAACACCAGUGGCGAAGGCGGCUUACUGGUCCGGUUCUGACGCUGAGGCACGAAAGCGUGGGGAGCAAACAGG